rnacentral:rRNA from 1 species
GACGAACGCUGGCGGCGUGCUUAACACAUGCAAGUCGAACGGAAAGGCCCUGCUUUUGUGGGGUGCUCGAGUGGCGAACGGGUGAGUAACACGUGAGUAACCUGCCCUUGACUUUGGGAUAACUUCAGGAAACUGGGGCUAAUACCGGAUAGGAGCUCCUGCUGCAUGGUGGGGGUUGGAAACUUUCGGCGGUUGGGGAUGGACUCGCGGCUUAUCAGCUUGUUGGUGGGGUAGUGGCUUACCAAGGCUUUGACGGGUAGCCGGCCUGAGAGGGUGACCGGCCACAUUGGGACUGAGAUACGGCCCAGACUCCUACGGGAGGCAGCAGUGGGGAAUAUUGCACAAUGGGCGGAAGCCUGAUGCAGCAACGCCGCGUGCGGGAUGACGGCCUUCGGGUUGUAAACCGCUUUCGCCUGUGACGAAGCGUGAGUGACGGUAAUGGGUAAAGAAGCACCGGCUAACUACGUG